CCUACGGGGUGCAGCAGUGAGGAAUAUUGGUCAAUGGGCGCUAGCCUGAACCAGCCAAGUAGCGUGAAGGAUGACUGCCCUAUGGGUUGUAAACUUCUUUUAUAUGGUAAUAAAUUGCAGUAUGUAUACUGCUUUGCAUGUACCUUAUGAAUAAGGAUCGGCUAACUCCGUGCCAGCAGCAGCGGUAAUACGGCGGAUCCGAGCGUUGUCCGGAUUUAUUGGGUUUAAAGGGAGCGUAGGCGGGUUGUUAAGUCAGUUGUGAAAGUUUGCGGAUCAACCGGAAAAUUGCAGUUGAUACUGGCAUCCUUGAGUACAGGAGAGGUAGGCGGAAUUCGUGGUGUAGCGGUGAAAUGCGUAGAGAGCACGAAGAACUCCGAUGGCGAAGGCAGCCCGCUGGACUGUAACUGACGCUGAGGCUCGAAAGUGUGGGUAUCAAACAGGAUUAGAUACCCUGGUAGUC
rnacentral:rRNA from 1 species